UACGUAGGCAGCAAGCGUUGUUCGGAGUUACUGGGCGUAAAGGGCGCGUAGGCGGCAAAUUAAGUCAGCUGUGAAAUCUCCGAGCUUAACUCGGAACGGUCAGCUGAUACUGAUCUGCUAGAGUGCGGAAGGGGCAAUCGGAAUUCUUGGUGUAGCGGUGAAAUGCGUAGAUAUCAAGAGGAACACCUGAGGUGAAGACGGGUUGCUGGGCCGACACUGACGCUGAGUGCGCGAAAGCCAGGGGAGCAAACGGG
rnacentral:rRNA from 1 species